UAAUUUUGUAGUUUAUGGAAAACAUGUGGUUUGCAUUCACAGGAAGAUACUAAGAAAUUAACC
rnacentral:tRNA from 1 species